GAAAUGCGAUACGUGAUGCGAAUCGCAGAGAUCGGCGAGUCAUCCAAGUUUCGAACGCACCCUGCGCUCUUGGUGUUCCUGAGAGCGCGUCCGUCUGAGCGUCGCCCCAUUCCUUCUCAUUCACCUCUAUUUGUGGUGAAUGGAUCAUGGAUAUUCGCUGUUCGUGGCGAUGUCCCGAGUACAAUGAGAUUGCAGUACUUGUCGAAACAAGCAAGGUACCGCAUUGGCAACGAGGGGACUAUUCCCUUCAAGUCCAGUGCUCUGGUGCUAUCUUGUCAGAACGGGUACAGCAUUUCUCUCUGUAUAGACGAUAGUGUGCCUCAUCAAGGACCGACCUCAGAUCGGGCGCCAUAACCCGCCGAACUUAAGC
rnacentral:misc_RNA from 1 species